GGGUUGUGAGGUUAAGCGACUAAGCGUACACGGUGGAUGCCCUGGCAGUCAGAGGCGAUGAAGGACGUGCUAAUCUGCGAUAAGCGCCGGUAAGGUGAUAUGAACCGUUAUAACCGGCGAUUUCCGAAUGGGGAAACCCAGUGUGAUUCGUCACACUAUCAUUAACUGAAUCCAUAGGUUAAUGAGGCGAACCGGGGGAACUGAAACAUCUAAGUACCCCGAGGAAAAGAAAUCAACCGAGAUUCCCCCAGUAGCGGCGAGCGAACGGGGAGGAGCCCAGAGCCUGAAUCAGCAUAUGUGUUAGUGGAAGCGUCUGGAAAGGCGCGCGAUACAGGGUGACAGCCCCGUACACAAAAGCGCAUGUGCUGUGAGUUCGAUGAGUAGGGCGGGACACGUGGUAUCCUGUCUGAAUAUGGGGGGACCAUCCUCCAAGGCUAAAUACUCCUGACUGACCGAUAGUGAACCAGUACCGUGAGGGAAAGGCGAAAAGAACCCCGGCGAGGGGAGUGAAAAAGAACCUGAAACCGUGUACGUACAAGCAGUGGGAGCACCCUUUGGGGUGUGACUGCGUACCUUUUGUAUAAUGGGUCAGCGACUUAUAUUCUGUAGCAAGGUUAACCGCAUAGGGGAGCCG
rnacentral:rRNA from 1 species